rnacentral:rRNA from 1 species
AUUGAACGCUGGCGGCAGGCCUAACACAUGCAAGUCGAACGGUAACAGGAAGCAGCUUGCUGCUUUGCUGACGAGUGGCGGACGGGUGAGUAAUGUCUGGGAAACUGCCUGAUGGAGGGGGAUAACUACUGGAAACGGUAGCUAAUACCGCAUAACGUCGCAAGACCAAAGAGGGGGACCUUCGGGCCUCUUGCCAUCGGAUGUGCCCAGAUGGGAUUAGCUAGUAGGUGGGGUAACGGCUCACCUAGGCGACGAUCCCUAGCUGGUCUGAGAGGAUGACCAGCCACACUGGAACUGAGACACGGCCAG